rnacentral:rRNA from 1 species
GGAGUUUGGGCCGUGUCUCAGUCCCAAUGUGGCCGUUCACCCUCUCAGGCCGGCUACUGAUCGUCGCCUUGGUGGGCCGUUACCUCACCAACUAGCUAAUCAGACGCGGGUCCAUCUUACACCACCGGAGUUUUUCACACUGAAUCAUGCGAUUCUGUGCGCUUAUGCGGUAUUAGCAGUCGUUUCCAACUGUUGUCCCCCAGUGUAAGGCAGGUUACCCACGCGUUACUCACCCGUCCGCCACUAAAAUUUAACAAGAAUUGAGCAAGCUCGCCUCAGCGUUAAAUUUCCGUUCGACUUGCAUGUAUUAGGCACGCCGCCAGCGUUCAUC